CGUACCUCUGGCGCACCAGUUGUUCUGCCAAGAGCAUAGCUGGGCAACUACGUACGGAUCGGAUAAACGCUGAAAGCAUCUAAGCGUGAAGCCGACCCAAAGAUAAGAUAUCCCACUGUUUUAAACAGGUAAGAUCCCUUGAAGACUACAAGGUUGAUAGGCACGAUGUGUAAGUGGAGUGAUCCAUUCAGCAAGGGUGUACUAAUAGAUCGAGGGCUUGACCACAA
rnacentral:rRNA from 1 species